rfam:Asian citrus Psyllid, Diaphorina citri - Florida Strain, whole genome shotgun sequence.
GCCUAGUUAGCUUAGUUUUGGUAGUGCGUCUGCCUUGUAAGCGCUAGGCCGUGGGUUCGAUUCCCGCCCGGGGCU